CUAACUCAAACUCAUACCCCUAAUCUAAUCCCUACCCAAUAUAAUACUAUCUAUACAAACACACAAAAGACACACUCUAAUACACAAAUCAGUCGCAGCUUAAGCUGAUCAGAUCCUCUCCUAAAAAAAACAAAACAGCCCCUGAAAUCUCCAUUGAAAUAAGCCAAAUAAAGCUCCAAAAGUACAGCUGGAAAGGGCGCAAAAGCAGUCCCAAAAGCCUACCAGCCCUCUUUCAAGCCAAACAAAACAAUCCCGAAAUCGUUGCGUUUCAGCUAUAAGGAAAGUGCCUCGUUUUCUUUUCAUUUCGGGGUGUUGACGAGUUUUUAGGCUGCCAAAGAAGUUGUUAUAAGGUCUAUUUGAAGGUAGUCGAGUUCGUUGUCGAGGUUCUCUGGUUGGCGCAUCUUGUCCGCUAUAUUUGAGUUUUAAAUUACCAAAUCCAAGCUCAAAUUCAAGUAAAGGUCCGAUCUCUGCUUACUGUUAUUUCAUUAGCUUUGAAUGUCAUCUUCUUGCUCAUGUUCUACUGUGAUUGUUUGUUGGAACUCAUGUUGGAAUUCAUUUAUUUAUGUGUGUUUGGAUUGAACGUAGAAAGGCCUUAUUUUGAUUCAUUUGAGAUACAAGAAUAUAGAACUUUGUGGAUCCGUUAAGCUAAAUUUUAAUCGUAUUAUGAUGGGUGCAUGUUGGUAAAUUAUGUGUAAAUUGGGUACUGUGUGAAUCACUGAUUUCAUGUUUAAUUUUGAAUUGAUUAGCAUUUUUUUUAGGGAUUUUUACAUAUACAUCCUAUAUAGCAAACCUUAUAACCGC
rnacentral:lncRNA from 1 species